UUCUCCUACGGGAGGCAGCAGUAGGGAAUCUUCCACAAUGGACGCAAGUCUGAUGGAGCAACGCCGCGUGAGUGAAGAAGGUCUUCGGAUCGUAAAGCUCUGUUGUUGGUGAAGAAGGAUAGAGGCAGUAACUGGUCUUUAUUUGACGGUAAUCAACCAGAAAGUCACGGCUAACUACGUGCCAGCAGCCGCGGUAAUACGUAGGUGGCAAGCGUUGUCCGGAUUUAUUGGGNGUAAAGCGAGCGCAGGCGGAAUGAUAAGUCUGAUGUGAAAGNNNCACGGCUCAACCGUGGAACUGCAUCGGAAACUGUCAUUCUUGAG
rnacentral:rRNA from 1 species